rnacentral:tRNA from 1 species
GGUGGCUCAAUGGUAGAGCGCGUGCUUUGCAUGCAUGAGGCCCUGGGUUCGAUUCCUCAGCACCA